rnacentral:rRNA from 1 species
UACGUAGGGUGCAAGCGUUAAUCGGAAUUACUGGGCGUAAAGCGUGCGCAGGCGGCUUUGCAAGACAGAUGUGAAAUCCCCGGGCUCAACCUGGGAACUGCAUUUGUGACUGCAUGGCUGGAGUGCGGCAGAGGGGGAUGGAAUUCCGCGUGUAGCAGUGAAAUGCGUAGAUAUGCGGAGGAACACCGAUGGCGAAGGCAAUCCCCUGGGCCUGUACUGACGCUCAUGCACGAAAGCGUGGGGAGCAAACAGG